AAACAGAGGUGUCAUUGUUGGAAACCUAGGAUGAAGUAGCAGUCGUGUGUGAACUAAAAAAUCACUCCGGGUGUGCGCAACGGAACCAGACACUGUGCGCGAAGGAGUUAGAGGAGCAACACAAACCAGAGAUGUUGAGUGUGUGCGACUGAGCCACAAAAGUGCACAGGGUGUGCGUGAUAGAACCAGAGGUGCUGGGCGUCUACGAUAGAACUAAAAACACGCCGGGUGUGAGCGAUGGAAUCAGACACUGUGUGCGAAGAGUUGUACAAACCAGAGCAGGGAGCAGCGAAAACUAAAGGUCAUGUGCGAGGACACAACGCGAAUAGCCUGGUGCGACUGGAGCAGAUUGAUCAGGUAGGUUGAAGAUGAUCACCAGAAUAGGGCGACUGGCUACUGGUGAGGCUGGGACUCCAUUUGGGUGGGUGUUGAGAAUAUUAUAGGGU
rnacentral:lncRNA from 1 species